rnacentral:rRNA from 1 species
AGUGAACGCUGGCGGUAGGCCUAACACAUGCAAGUCGAACGGCAGCACAGUAAGAGCUUGCUCUUACGGGUGGCGAGUGGCGGACGGGUGAGGAAUACAUCGGAAUCUACUUUUUCGUGGGGGAUAACGUAGGGAAACUUACGCUAAUACCGCAUACGACCUACGGGUGAAAGCAGGGGAUCUUCGGACCUUGCGCGAUUGAAUGAGCCGAUGUCGGAUUAGCUAGUUGGCGGGGUAAAGGCCCACCAAGGCGACGAUCCGUAGCUGGUCUGAGGGGAUGAGCAGCCAGACUGGAACGGAGACACGGCACAGAGUCCCACGGGAGGCAGCAGUGGUGAAUAUUGGACAAUGGGCGCAAGCCUGAUCGAGCCAUGCCGCGUGGGUGAAGAAGGCUUUCGGGUUGUAAAGCCCUUUUGUUGGGAAAGAAAAGCAGCAGGUUAAUACCCCGCUGUUCUGACGGUACCCAAAGAAUAAGCACCGGCUAACUUCGU